rnacentral:tRNA from 1 species
GGUAGUGUGACCGAGUGGUAUAAGGCGCUGGUUUAAGGCACCAGUUUCUUCGGGGCCGUGGGUUCGAAUCCCACCGCUGCCG